rnacentral:rRNA from 1 species
CAUAUGGAUUCCUACGGGAGGCAGCAGUGGGGAAUAUUGCACAAUGGGCGCAAGCCUGAUGCAGCAACGCCGCGUGAGGGACGAAGGCCUUCGGGUUGUAAACCUCUUUUAGUAGGGAAGAAGCGACUGGGUUUUCCUGGGAGUGACGGUACCUGCAGAAAAAGCACCGGCUAACUACGUGCCAGCAGCCGCGGUAAUACGUAGGGUGCAAGCGUUGUCCGGAAUUAUUGGGCGUAAAGAGCUCGUAGGCGGUUUGUCGCGUCUGUUAAAACCCGGGCUCAACCUCGGGCCUGCAGUGGGUACGGGCAGACUAGAGUGCGGUAGGGGAGAUUGGAAUUCCUGGUGUAGCGGUGGAAUGCGCAGAUAUCAGGAGGAACACCAAUGGCAAGGCAGAUCUCUGGGCCGUAACUGACGCUGAGGAGCGAAAGCAUGGGGAGCGAACAGGAUUAGAUACCCUGGUAGUCCAUGCCGUAAACGUUGGGAACUAGAUGUGGGGACCAUUCCACGGUCUCCGUGUCGCAGCUAACGCAUUAAGUUCCCCGCCUGGGGAGUACGGCCGCAAGGCUAAAACUCAAAGGAAUUGACGGGGGCCCGCACAAGCGGCGGAGCAUGCGGAUUAAUUCGAUGCAACGCGAAGAACCUUACCAAGGCUUGACAUAUACCGGAAACGGCUGGAAACAGUCGCCCCGCAAGGUCGGUAUACAGGUGGUGCAUGGUUGUCGUCAGCUCGUGUCGUGAGAUGUUGGGUUAAGUCCUUCA